UUUAAACACCGGUUCCCGUAAGAUCACUGAAGUUAAACAACGUUGAACAUGGCCAGUACCUAGAUAGGUGACCGCUUGGAAAUACCAGGUGUCAU